rnacentral:lncRNA from 1 species
GAAGCAGUCUUUUUUUUUUGUGGGCUUAUCUCCAGAGAGAUAGCCAUCUCAGGAGGCACUGACCCAAGCACCCAGGAAUGCCAUGUUGGCAGAAGGAGGAUACAAAAGGGACCAACAACUGUGAGAGUCGGCAAUGUUGCUGCUGCUCUCCCUCUGUGCUUUUGCCUCAGACCAUCGGAACAGCAUGCAACAGGAUACUGCUGGAUCUUGGUGUUUGAAUGCACCGCAAGAAGGUCAGACCGAGGAAGACGUUGAGCCUUCGCGAGGAAUCCUUCUGACUUCAUCCCCACGACCACCAGAGGGAGACUCCUACUAUGGACAACGCAUGUGCCAGGGGAGGGGCAGUAUGUAAAUGAAUUUCCAGAAGAUUAAUGAAGUUUGAUUCCGCACGUCAGCACUAGAGACACAGCUGCCAGCAACCUGAAGAAUAUCAAGAAGGACUACAAGGAGCUGGGAACAGCAGUGAAGAACUCAGGAGUACAGGUAGUCCUCUCAGCAGUCCUCCAG